rnacentral:rRNA from 1 species
GACGAACGCUGGCGGCGUGCCUAACACAUGCAAGUCGAGCGGAGUUAGUUUGUAGCUUGCUACAAACUAACUUAGCGGCGGACGGGUGAGUAACGCGUGGAUAACCUGCCUUUUACAGGGGGAUAACACAGGGAAACUUGUGCUAAUACCGCAUAACAUAUAGAAGUGGCAUCACUUUUAUAUCAAAGGAGCAAUUCGGUAGAAGAUGGAUCCGCGUCCGAUUAGCUAGUUGGCGGGGUAAAGGCCCACCAAGGCGACGAUCGGUAGCCGAACUGAGAGGUUGAUCGGCCACAUUGGGACUGAGACACGGCCCAGGCUCCUACGGGAGGCAGCAGUGGGGAAUAUUGCGCAAUGGGGGAAACCCUGACGCAGCAACGCCGCGUGAAGGAUGAAGGCUUUCGGGUUGUAAACUUCUUUAGUCGGGGACGAAAAAAUGACGGUACCCGAAGAAUAAGCCACGGCUAACUACGUGCCAGCCGCCGCAGUAA